UAUCUUUUGCUGAAUAUUUAAUACAAUGUCAUCACUCUUCUCACAUUUUAUGUUAUUUUCUUAAGAAACACCUUAAUUAUAUAGUUGUAUCUUACUAGGACUAAAGAAAUAUUUAAAGUAAAAGUGUAUAUGUUUUGUAUCAAGACUAUUCCGGAAAAAAAAAACCCGAAAAAUCCGAGAAAACCGAAUAACUCGAGAAAAUCCGAGGUUGAAAAACCCGAAUUUUAUUGGUUUGGUUUGGUGUAUAAAUUUUAAAACCCGACGCAAUUGGUUUGGUUUGGUGUUUAAAAAAUCCGAACCAACCCGGUCCAUGUACACCCCUAAUUGGAGGAGUGCAGAAUGAGGGCCUAUAGAGGUCACGCUUGAAACUUUCAACAAUUCAUUUAUACUUGAGGUACUAUAUUCUUCAAUUAUGAUUUGUUUUUGUUGUCGUAUAGUUGGGUUUUAUGUAAUGAGGGAAAAAUUAAAAUUCGUACUUUAAAAGUAGAUAUAUUACCAGCAUGAUUGGAGAGGCCCUACAGAGAUGCGGCCGAGGGUAGAACAAGGGUCUGUAACGGUCAAUCUUGAAACCCCAUUGGUUCAUUUAAACUUUAGGUAUGUAUUCUUCUAUAUUUUAUUUUAGUUAUUUCACAUUUUGCUUUUCUGGGUAACGAGGGAAAAAUGAUAUUCGUAAUUUUAUAGUAGAUGUAACAAGUAUGUGCUAAUAACUUACUAAGAUUUCAUAGAGCUUGCUUCGAGAGGGUAUUAUGAUAAUGUCAUCAGGGAUUUUUUCCCCUUAUCCAUUUACGUUGUUAAUUUUAGAUAACUUGGGAUCUUAAUUUAUCCCCUUUUCUUAUUUGAUUUUUCGGUUGGAUUUUAUUGUUCACACUGGACGUCCAACUUGUACUAGAAGAGCUUUAGAAUCUGUUUAUGGUAUUUAGAGGCCUAAAUGCCUUUGUAACCACCUUUAUAGCACAAGUUAAGAAUGACAAUGAAAAUAGACGCCUUAUUACUGAUUUCCUUAGCAAUUCAUGACCUUUCAGAUGACUUAGCUAGACUGUGUUAAAUUUUUAUUUUGAAUUUUCCUUUUGUUGUAGUUUUUCAAUGAAAGACAUAAGAGCUGCCGGGAACAAGUAGUUGCUAAAGAUUUUAACCCCAUAAAACUCUGUUGGGAAUGUCUCCCUCUUUGCCUUUUGUUUCUCCUACUUCUCCUUUUUGAUACAAAAAAUAUAUGCCACUUAACACAGAUUGGAGUUACAGCAAUCUACAUACCUGCAACUAAAGAUAUGCUUUGAACAACAAACAAAUAAGACACUUUUACAUAGGUUGCUUUGUGUAAUGCUUUUUGUAGAGUUUAGAUUCUUAAUCAGAAUGCUUCUUAUUGUAAAUUUGUAGUUCUCGCUAAAUAAAUAAACUGGUUCGGUGUUUUAUAAUUUUUGAUUUACAUGCAUACGAUGCACUGACUUAAGUAUUGACAACUCUCAUAUACACUUCUUUCAUUAAGCUGACUCUUGAUGCCUCGAGCAUAUUUCAACCUUCAAAAGUUUGAUUGUAUCUAAUCGUGAUACUUUUUUGUUUUGAGUAUAAGACACAUAGGAAAAUGACAUGUUGAUGUUUAAAUGUUCACAAUCUGUGAGUUGGUUAAUUUUAUUUUAGAUAUUUUUUUACAUUUUCAUUUGAUGCAACAUUUAUAGAGUUUUUAUUCGGAAGCUCUCUGAGCUUGGAUUACGAUCUUUGAUUUAUGUUAGAAUCUUAUACUUCUACUAUUUAUCCUUGCAUUCGUUAGAUAUAUAAUUGCAAAUGAAAUCAUUAAUGCGGAUAUUAUUAGCUUCUUUCAGAAAUUUUCUAAAACUUUAUACUGUUAAGAUCUUUUCCCUUCAAUUUCUCCCUUCUCUUUUUAGUAUUUUUGUUGGUUCUUUAUUGUAAUGUUCUCCUGAUUUUGAAUUUAUUUUUAGGAUGUGCAUAGUGGGAUCAAUCUCUCAUCUCUACUAUUUAUCCCUUUCAAAGUGUGCAAAAGUAUCAAUGGAGUAGAAUGCCACAACUCAACAAAGAAUUUAGCAAUUUGAUCCUAAAUGUUUUGAGUAUCAUCUGGAUUAUGCAAAUCCUUUGGCUCUCUGUUGUAUCUUCAUUUUCCAGUGGCUUUCGCCUUUGAUUGUAUUUCUUCUUCUCGUGUGUUAGUACUAUAGCUAAUGACAGUAAGAUGUAGGAACUUUCUUUCUUUUAAUAAAGUUUUUGAUGUUAAGUCUAUCAGUUCGAUGUUGUAGACCUGCAAAAAAUAGGAAGCAUGCUAUCUUGACAUCCUAAUACUACUGAUUGAUCUUUCGAGUUUUUCUUUAUGAGUAGUCCUUUUACUGUACAACUUUACAUGGAUGUUUACAUACUUUACCCUUUUUGCUGGUGGAAUAGCAUAGGCCUCGAAGAAUAUUAUAAACUCCUUUCCAUGAUAGAUACAACAAUGCACCAUGAGAUUUAGUAUGUUCCACGUCUUUGCCCAAAUGAUAUUAACGUUCUCCUACUGGUAAUACAUUUGAGACUAUAUAGAUGAAGUAUCACUUACUGUAAUUGUUUUGUUAAUGAGUUUAAUUUUCUCAUUGAGUACUCACAUAUUUAAAAUUUAGUGCUUACGUUUAAAAGAGUGACGAGGGUUGCAAUAAGUGGAUUUUUUUUUUUGAAGAACUGAGUCGUCAAGUGGUCCUUCUGUUUAUGUGGUGCUUGAGAAUGUAUUUUUUAAUGUCAUUCUGCCUUCUUAGAAAUUACAGUUCGGCUGCAGACUUUUUGAAUAGUGGACAAGAGUAAUACUUACUGACUUAGCAAGUAUACCAAGAACUCUAUGAGAAGGUAUUGUAUUUACCAAAAUGCAUCAUCUACUGUCAUAUCAAGUCUUUAAUGCUUCCAGACUUUCAGUGUAGGUGCCAUCACGACGGGUUGGGUCGUGACACUGGAAAUGGUAGAAGAAUCCAUUGAGGUAGUUCAGGAGAGGGUACAGAGGUAUGAAGGAUAGGAUCUGAUCAACCUUGGAGCCUACAGAACUUAUGCCAGGGUACUUUAAAUCCCAACCAAGCUUGAGGGAAAUAAUCUAGCUUUUCAGUGCAAUUCUUUCACGAGGAGUUCAGGCGGUACAAAUAGCACUGGGAGUAUUACUCGUAAAUUACAUUAAUAUUAGAGUUUAUAGGAUUAAAUAUGGUGUGUGGCCUCUGUAUAUCUGGCAAGUAUAUUAGUUGUCUGUUGCAGGCAUUUGCUCGCUUUUCAUUUCUUGUCGUUGCAUAUGUUGGUCUCGUGUUUUAAAACACUGGUGGUGUUCUGUCAUAGAAUGAUGUUUUGCAAGAAGAAAUCAUGUGGUGAUAUCUUAUGUAUGCCUUUUUUGUUAUG